AUUGAACGCUGGCGGCGUGCUUAACACAUGCAAGUCGAGCGGUAACAGGCGUAGCAAUACGUGCUGACGAGCGGCGAACGGGUGAGUAAUGCUUCGGAAUCUUCCUUGUAGUGGGGAAUAACCUGGGGAAACUCAGGCUAAUGCCGCAUACGAACCAUGGUUGAAAGCGGGGGAUCGCAAGACCUCGCGCUAUAAGAUGAGCCGAAGUCGGAUUAGCUAGUUGGUGGGGUAAAGGCCUACCAAGGCGACGAUCCGUAGCUGGUCUGAGAGGACGGACAGCCACACUGGGAAUGAGACACGGCCCAGACUCCUACGGGAGGCAGCAGUGGGGAAUAUUGGACAAUGGGGGCAACCCUGAUCCAGCGACGCCGCGUGUGUGAAGAAGGCCUGCGGGUUGUAAAGCACUUUUAGUGGGGACAAAAAGCCGAGGGCUAAUACCUUUCGGUCUUGAUUUAACCCAAAGAAAAAGCACCGGCUAACUCUGUGCCAGCAGCCGCGGUAACAC
rnacentral:rRNA from 1 species